GCGACCCCAGGAUGGGCGAGGCCACCCGAAGAGUUUAAG
rnacentral:rRNA from 1 species